GGGAGCGUAGUUCAGAUGAUAGAGUGCUUGCUUAGAAUGCGAGAGGAACGGGGAUCGGUACCCCGGGCCUCCA